AGUAACACGUGGGUUACCUGCCCCGAUGAUUGGGACAACCCGGGGAAACUCGGGCUAAUACCAAAUGUGCUCCUGGCUGUAAUGGCCUUGAGGAAAGGAAGCUUCGGCCUCCGCAUCGGGAUGGGCCCGCGGCCCAUUAGCUUGUUGGUGGGGUAAUGGCCUACCAAGGCUGCGAUGGGUAGCUGGUCUGAGAGGACGAUCAGCCACACUGGGACUGAGACACGGCCAG
rnacentral:rRNA from 1 species